rnacentral:tRNA from 1 species
AGCCCCAUAGUACAGCGGUCAAGUAUUCAAGGUUCUGGACCUUGUGACCCAGGUUCGAAUCCUGGUGGGGCUA